AUUUCUACUGGUUCUACGAGCAGUCCGCAGUUCCGAUCAUGACAGACAAAGACUUGGACAAGCUAUGCCAUUGCUUACAUGAGGUGCCGGAAGAGGAACUGGCAAAGCUGGACGUCGCCUGUAUACUUCCAAGUGUGCGGGUCACAGGCGUUCCACGGCACCUAGCCGUUGAGGCAAUCCGCGGCAACUUGAAAGCCGUCAGAUCAUUGCAUGAGCGGCUUAGACUGAUCACAUGGCUCUAUUGCUGGCUUAUACCGCACGACAGACUAAAAGGGUGGCAGCUUUAUCGCCUCAACAGCAGACUGAAACAGUUUGUCGACGAUUUCAAGCUACACUCUAUGAUAGCGCGAGAGUUCUGCUAUCGAGGUAGGAUAAACACGUACGUGCCCUUGGCAUGCACACAUGGCCGCUACGCAUGUGCUGUGACCGGUGACCUGGAGGACGAGCCUGAAGUGCACAGUCUUAUAUGUUUGUGUGCUUGGUUGGAAAUGCCCUACUUGGCCGUUCGUGCAGCCGAUGUGAUUGAUAUGAGAAAGCUGAUGCUCACUCUAAACAAUGUGUUAGGAGGCAGCCUCGAUGAGCACCUGGUUGGCGGUUACGAGACGUUGAGCAGCGGCUUCGCUGCCGCUCUCGAUGACAUGGGUAUUCGUGGAAUCAGACAUCUGGCAACGGUGACAUUCCCUGAGCUGUUUGGGCGGCACAUCUAGCCAAACGAUGACGGCCUCAAAAUGCAUUCUGGUAAAAUCAAACCGCAUCAUACUGUUAUGGAAGACUCAAGGUUGAUUCGUCGCGCAAGUUCACGGGACAGGAAAAGACGGAACAAGAACUGGUGCUCUCUUGUGCACAAACUCACCAGGCCGUCGAUCAGUCGUGCCAAAGUGAACCUCUACUUCCAGAGUGACAUCAAGGAACGUUUCAUGUGCAAGUAAUCUUCGAGCCACGGUGCGGCAAAGUUUAGCAGCGCCAUUUCAAACUUCUUCCAGCAAGUUUACCAAGCAGAGUACUCGAACGAACGCAGACUCGUUACAGUAAUCUGCAGUACCUAGUAUCUUAAAUCCUUAUGCGCUUCCGAUGUUGUCUUGGUUGUCAAUGCGCAGCGUAUCAAAAACACUGCCCCAACAGAAACGUUGCUCAAAUAUGCCAUUCGGUGCCCCCAUACUCGUCUAUCUUCUGUUCCAUCUUCAAAAAAAAAUUGAUGUCGUUGCUCUUAAGUGAUCGGUGUCUUGCUACACUUGCUUCAAGGCUGUGGUCUCUAUCCGGCGCCGUCAUCUGAUAUGCUGCACUUCUGCUUAUUUGCCGAUUUGGGGUUCACGUAUUACGAUGUCUAAAUAAAGUGCAACUUAUUGCCGUACGGAAGCAACGCUUGUCAAUUUGCCUUUGGCCAAAGUGUAUUAUGGACAGAAGCCCUACGACACGACCCCCAAAGCGGUGACUGAAGACCAAAACAGACGACUUGGUCGAGACUAAACACUCCCAACACUUGUGCA